CUUUCAGCAUGAUCUUUGAGAGUAUUUUCUGCAUUCCGCUAUCAAGACCAUGGUGAGAGUC
rnacentral:pre_miRNA from 2 species